rnacentral:rRNA from 1 species
UAACACGUGGGGAACCUGCCCCAUAGUCUGGGAUACCACUUGGAAACAGGUGCUAAUACCGGAUAAGAAAGCGGAUCGCAUGAUCAGCUUUUAAAAGGCGGCGUAAGCUGUCGCUAUGGGAUGGCCCCGCGGUGCAUUAGCUAGUUGGUAAGGUAAAGGCUUACCAAGGCGAUGAUGCAUAGCCGAGUUGAGAGACUGAUCGGCCACAUUGGGACUGAGACACGGCCCAAACUCCUACGGGAGGCAGCNGA